rnacentral:rRNA from 11 species
UUUUGAAGAAUGAGCCUGCGAGUCAGCGGCAUGUCGCGAGGUUAACCCGUGUGGGGUAGCCGUAGCGAAAGCGAGUCCGAACAGGGCGAUUGAGUCGCACGAUCAAGACCCGAAGCGGAGUGAUCUAUCCAUGGGCAGGUUGAAGCGUCGGUAAGACGACGUGGAGGACCGAACCCACUUAGGUUGAAAACUGAGGGGAUGACUUGUGGGGAGGACUGAAAGUGUAAUCAAACCAGGAGAUAGCUCGUUCUCUCCGAAAUAUCUUGAGGGAUAGCGUCGAGUAAAUUAGUAACCGGGGGUAGAGAUACUGAAUCGGAUGGGGGCCCUUCCCAGGGUACCCCACCGAACCAAACUCCGAAUACCGGUUUACCUUACCUCGGCAGUCAGUCCCUGGGGGAUAAGCUCCAGGGUCGAGAGGGAAACAACCCAGAUCGUCUGAUAAGGUCCCGAAGUAUUACUUAGUCACUAAGGAAGUUGAAGUGCCGUGACAGCUGGGAUGUUGGCUUAGAAGCAGCCACCAUUUAAAAAGUGCGUAACAGCUUACCAGUCGAGCAUUUCUGCGCCGAUAAUGAACGGGAGUAAGUAAUACACCGAAGCAGCGGAUUCUAACCUUAUGGUUAGAGUGGUAGGAGAGCGCCGAUGAUCAGAUACGAGCCAUACGGAAACGAGUGGUGUCGGGGUCAUCGGGUGAUUAUGCCGGAAUGAGUAACGAUAAAACAGGUGAGAAUCCUGUUC